UUGCUGUGAUAUUUGGUUUCGCUCACUGCUGACUUGCAGUGAAGACAUUUUCUUAGCUUUUUGAGCAG